UUUCUCUGUGUAACAGUCUUGGCUGCCCUGGACUUGAUCAGUAGACCUUGAACUCAAAGUAAUCUGGACUUGAUCAGUUGGCCUUGAACUCACAGUGAGCUACAUGCCUCUACCUCCCUGAGUACUGGGAUCAAAGGGAGGUAGAAUAUACACAUGCAUUACAAAUAUGUGGAAAUAUGGGUGCUGAAGGAAGCCUGCUCCACAGAAAUAAUUGCUAUGAAGAAACUGUUCUGGAAGAUAUGCAUAGAAGAAGGCAAGCUUGCUUUGCAACUAUGGGAUAUUAAUUCACUAAGACUUCACAUCAUAUCCAGUGAAUAAAGAUGGCAAGCAUGAAGACAGCACCAAUUGGAGGCCCAAUGUAGCUAGAAAAUGAUCCCGUAUAAUGGAACAGCUGUCCAUUUUGUGAUACCUGUACCAAUGGGACCCACAGGAUGCUGAUGACGAUGAGAACAAUGCCAAAUACCCUGUCAGGAAAACACAGUGAUCCAAAGAUGAAACAAGAGCAUUGUGCAGGCCUCCGCCAUUCCUGAAGUUAGUCUUCUGCUCUUUCUUUGUUUUUCCAAGCAAAGUCAAGCUGCUUGACCUCACAUGAACCCACAUCACCCCUAAGAAUUACCUGGUAGUGAAAUGUGAAUGAGUAAACUCAAUAGUUAGCUGUAAUAUAUUCAUUUGUGAGAUUAUCUAGCUACUCCUGAAAUGAACUAAAAUUUCAGCAAUUGACUAUCUUUUCGAUGCAUACAUCAAUUAGAAAUAAACAUUAGAUUAUUUCUAUCUAUCACUAAUCCUUUAUAUGAUAAAUAAAACAGUUUAAUCUUUUUCCUUUUCUCUAGGUUGAGGAAAACUGAGUCAAUUUACAGAGGUUAGCACCCAAAUAUCACACAUCUCAGAUGUUGUGUGGCAUGGCAAGAAAUGGUAACAUACGCUUCCUAACUUGAGUAUUUCAACAACUAAAAUGAAUUUGUUAAAAUUCUGGUAAGAGGUAAAAAGAUAUUAGAGGUAGCCAUCUUCCGUGAGAGGUGACCUGCUCUUGGAAACCCUAGUGUCCUAAUUUACUGUAAGCAAGCAAUUUGCUAGAUAGUGUGAUCUCCUAAGUAAACGUGAUGGUGGGUUGAAGGGGACACCAAGAGUUCGUCAGGGAACGGAGGGACAAGGGUUUCAUUUAAGCCUUACAAACUGCUUUACUGUUACAAAUAUUGGAAAAAAGAACAAAUAAUAGAAAGUCUUGGUGUGCUGCCUAGAAAACUAAAGAUUCAAUCAAGCAUCCCACCACUUAUCAUUAUCUUCAGAAAAUAAGCCACACAUUCUGCCCCUUUGCUCCAGGGCCUUCUCUCUCACGUUGAAUAAAAUCAAAUUCUUUGCUGUAGUUAAGCGAA